rnacentral:snoRNA from 1 species
GAGUGCCGCUGGAGCGCCGCCUUUGGCGGCCCCGUGAAAGUCGGCCCCCCGGCUUAA